AGAUGAGAAUUCUAAGGUGAGCGAGCGAACUCUCGUUAAGGAACUCGGCAAAAUGACCCCGUAACUUCGGGAGAAGGGGUGCUCUUUAGGGUUCACGCCCAGAAGAGCCGCAGUGAAUAGGCCCAAGCGACUGUUUAUCAAAAACACAGGUCUCUGCUAAACCGUAAGGUGAUGUAUAGGGGCUGACGCCUGCCCGGUGCUGGAAGGUUAAGAGGAGUGGUUAGCUUCUGCGAAGCCACGAAUCGAAGCCCCAGUAAACGGCGGCCGUAACUAUAACGGUCCUAAGGUAGCGAAAUUCCUUGUCGGGUAAGUUCCGACCCGCACGAAAGGCGUAACGAUUUGGGCACUGUCUCAACGAGAGACUCGGUGAAAUCAUAGUACCUGUGAAGAUGCAGGUUACCCGCGACAGGACGGAAAGACCCCGUGGAGCUUUACUGUAGCCUGAUAUUGAAAUUCGGCA
rnacentral:rRNA from 1 species